GAAACACAGGAAGGAAGAACUCACCUGGGAAACCUGCAUCAUAGUUUCCCUCCAUGUCCUGUCCACGGCCGUGAAGCGCCGGCCCUCCUCAGGCAUCUGCACCAUGAUGUCCGGGGAGCUGAAGAUGGGCUCCAGGUACAGCCAGACGAACUGCACCUUCAGCCACUCAUCCAGGAUCUCCUGCAGGAGCAGCAUCUUUCCUUCCCACGCACUGAAAUGAAGCAGAAAAACGGGACUUGCACCUCGGGAUGGGCUUGAUGAAGGGUGAGCCCUUCAUGGUUUGCGUCUUCACGAUGUGGUCGUCCAGCAGUAGUUGGACCUCCUCCACGGACGACAGGAUGAAGGUUCCCGUCUCCCGAUAGGCCAGCAGGGUGAACUCUAUGUCCACCCACUCGCCGGCCAUCUUCUCCAGGGCCUUCUCCAGAGAGUACUCCUUGCUGGCCGCCUCGCUGAUGCCGUCGAAGCUGGGCAGGUGUUCCUCCAGCUUCAGGGACAGGUACUGAGCCACGCAGGCCUGCUCGUCGGCCGGGUGCAGCGAGAAGCCGGCCAGCUCCGACAUGGCGUCCCAGUGGCGGGCCCGCAGCCCCGGGUUGCACAGCACCUACACACCGCCAGAGAUCCCCAGCAGCACAGAAAUGUCAUAUCUACCAGAGGACAAACUGUUUUUGACGGUCUCUACCUGCACCAUGGGGAUGUGCGACUUGAAACUCUCCACUUUAGCCUUUACGAUCUUGGCUAUUUUCAGGGCAUUGGGAACUUGAGAGAAACCUUUCUCCAGCUUGUACAACGUGCGCCAGUAGUUCCCAACGUCGCCCUCCACCUACAGGAAAACAGUUUUUAUUGGGCAUGAAAAUAUUAAAACACUAGAGUCACGUGAGCGUUAUUUUGUGGUUUGGUACCUUGUCUGGAGGAACCCCGGACAGCGGCCCGUGGAGCCACUUCUCAUUGUCCUGCAGGAAUUCAGACGACGUUUCAUACAGGCGCAGGAACGGCGUGAGCCCGUCCUGGAUCUGUUUCCGCUGGGGAAACUGGGACACGGGCCAGCCGAAGGCCUCCUCUUCCAUGUUGAGGUCGUUAAUCUUCUCAGAGCGAGACGAAGGAAACGGACAAUCCAGAAAUGAUUAAACUUUUAGAAAAUAAAAUGACAAAACUGAUAAAAAA